UCUGCCCAGAAUCGCGCCCUCAGACGCCGAGACGCCGACAGCCUCAGCCUGCGGUGCCGGAUGGCCCUCCCUCCCCUCCAUCAGGGUCAGCGCUGGAGGCGGCUCUGCCCCACCCUCAGCCGGGGCUGGUGUCCGUCCCGAGUCGAAGCCUCGACCCCAUGGGCCUUUUUACAAACAGCGGGAAAAGCAAGCUCAAGGCUGCUGGGUCAGGUUCUACAGGAAGGGCCAUUUUGCUCAGCUUUUUACAAGACAGGGAGACGACUUGCCCGUGGGCAAACUCCGUGGCAGUGGCUGGUCUCCCUCGCCUCCCUCACUGAUUCGAAAUGUUUACCGUGUGGCCCCCCAUUGCUGUUACAAUGAAGUUCAACCUCUUUAUCGUGACCCCUCGGCCCUGCCGGGUUUGCUCCUGCUGGCUCCCGGAGUCUCGUCCUGUGUCCUGGGCUCUUCACCAAACCUGCUCCCGCAUCUCCCUCUGCCUAGAACCUCCCCCACCGUGCCCCUGUCAAGUCUUAGUGCUUGUCAGACAGCUCGCCUCGUCAUAAACCAGAAGUACUGCCUGGGUGCUGAGCACUUCACAGAUGUCACCUCACUUCCCAGGAACUCAGGAGUAUAUCCUCUAAUAGGUGUCUAUGGAAACGGACAUGGUAGUGCUGUGGGCAGACACUAUGCUAAACGCUCCCUGUGGAUUAGCUCCUUUCAUACAACAGUGCUAUAAGGUGUGUACCACUAUCACCAUUUUAUAGAAGAGAAGUUCAGGGAGGCUCAGCUACCUGCCACAUGUCU